rnacentral:lncRNA from 1 species
UCUUCCAUCUUUGGAGUCCACAAAUGUGCCAAAAGGCCAUGUUCCUGUCUAUGUUGGAGAAACUCAGAAGAAGAGAUUUGUGAUUCCAAUUUCAUACUUGAAGCAUCCUUCAUUCCAAAACUUGCUAAGUCAGGCUGAGGAAGAGUUCGGGUUUGAUCAUCCACUGGGUGGCCUCACUAUCCCAUGCAGAGAAGAAGCCUUCAUUGAUCUAACUUACAGUUUGAACUGCUCAUGAGCAAGGAGGAAGAUCUCAAAAUGGAUGGCUUCAAGCUCUCGUCUCUCUAACACCACUUACCCCAAAAUCCAGUCCCAACAAUUUUGUAUUACUGAGAAAAAGGUCUUUUUGAAGUGACAACGAUAUAGUUUUCUUCUAUUUUUCUGUAAAGCAAUUAGUUGACAGUCAAAUGUCUUCAUCUUAAUCACACAGAAAUAACCAUGUUCCUUUCUCUUCUUUUCAAAAGAAAGCAUGUUGUUUCUUUUCUCCCUUGUGAUUCCUCACUAGCCAAGAAGAUGUUUCAUUUUCUCAGUUUUUCGUCUUUCCAUUACAUCCAUCCAACAAUUGGCUUCUCCUUAUGUGUAAAGCACCAUCAUUCUAAUUUGUAAAACACCCAGCUCUGACAUUGAAAUAAAACUUCAGAUAAACAUGAAAGACGUAAGCUGCCAUCAACAUGAAAAGUAGAGAUAUAUUCAAGGAAUAUUCACAGCUGGAGGCAAAAGGGAGAACAGUAGUUAACAUUGGAAGUGAGAUACUUUAGUACACCAACUUGCAAGGCACACUCUCAUGAAGAGCACAUGAAGUGCCUCCUACUAGGCCCAAGGCAGUAGAAUCCAUUUUAAAACACAAGAUCAUUGGUUGCAGUGUUGACUUGGAAAAGUUGAAUCAUUAACAUGGCCCUUCCUCAUCUCUCUCUUUCAAUUUUUGUUGAAUAAAACUGAAUGAACGACUUAGCCCCGUGAAGAUCAAUUAAAUAUGGUAAAUAUUUAUAUAUAACUUGUAUCAACUCACUCUUACUAAUCAUGGACAUAUUAUCCAUUUUGGGACUAAAGUACCCUUAUGGUUUUAAAAUAGAUAUAGAGGAUUAAGAGUUCAUAUAUAUAUAUAUAUAUAACAUAAAAACCUUUUCCCCUAUCUGAUAUAAGAUAUUACAAUGACCCUCCAUAUAGAUACAAUAUUUUAAUUUGUUAUAUCUCGUGGGAUUAUGGGGCCAAACAAACAAACAUUCCUUGCGAAACCAAACAAACUCUCACACAAGGAUUAGGGAUCGACUCUAAUACUAUUUGUAACACCUAUUUCUAAUUGUAUAAAUAUCAUCCACUCUACACCCAAGGAACCCUUAGGGUUUUAAAACACAUUUGUAUGAUUGAGAGGAGCUCAUACAUAGAUAGUAUUAGGGAAAAAGUUUUCCUUGUUUGAUGUCGAAUAUCAAUAUCCUAUAUUAUUAUCAUUAUAUCGAUCCCACAAAAUUGUAGAACCAAACAAACAAAUACCCCUUACUCUUAAUCAUGUAAAUAUUAUCCACUUUGCACCGUAAAUACUCUCAUGACUUUAAAACGUGUCUACAAGAUUAAAAGUAAUCUAUACAUAUAUAGCACCAAGAAUUUUUUUUCCCAUUCAAUGUGGGAUAUCACAACCCCCUCCUCCAUAUAAAUACAAUGUUCUUGUGGGGCCAAACAAACUUCUACAUCUUAUGGGGCCAAACAAACUUCUACAUCAAGGUCAAGAAUAAACUCUAAUACCAUUUGUAAUUACUCACUCCUAAUUGUGUAGGUAUUGUCUGCUCUAGACUAAGACCCUUAUGACUUUAAACGCAUUUAUAGGAUUAAGAAGAGUCCAUACAAAUAUAACGUCAAGAACUUUUUUCAUUAUCCAAUGUGGGUUAUUACAACCAUCUCACCUCCCAUGCAAGCACAACAUUAUCUUUAAGUCCCAUGAGAUUACAAGGCUGAGCAAACAGACAACCCUUCUCUUGUCCCCAGUUGUCCUACCCUUGGAAAUGUUUCCACCCAGUUUUCAGUUUCAAACAUAAUCCUAUUUCUAUCCUUCUCCAUGGAUUCAAGUUCUAAAAUUCUGUCUGGGUGCUUUAUCAAAGAUGCAAUCAACAUUAGCACUUCUCUAAACAUGUAGAUUGGUUUUUGAUGAUUUUGAAGAAUCCAAACUGUAAUAGACAAGAUAAAAUGGGCACCACUUGUCUUUAAGGUUCAAAGAAGGCCAUUCAUUUGAAAUUACAUUUACAUUUACAUUUACAUAUACAUUUGAAAUCACUUCUUUUAGAUGACUACUAUUUCUACAUCAAUUACAACAAUAGGAAUAGGAUACCAAAACUAGAAAUCUUUUUAUUAAUAACCAUAAUCAUAAGUUGUUCUUUCGUGAAAUGAUGCUGAAUUUUCUCUUAGUUGAAGAUUUAGCCUUACUAGAAUGAUAGAAUCCAAAAUAUUUAAACAAGGCACGAUGGAUUUUAAUGGAGUAAGCCUUUAAAUAGAUUUGUUUUCGUUGAUAAGCUGCAAAUGGGUACUGGAAACUUAUGGCAGUAACAUUUACUAAAUGGCUGCCAGAGGAUGACAAAUAACAUAAGAAAAAGGUAAAGCUAUGCAAUUAAGAUGAACAAAUUUGGUUUUCAAUUUGUUUUGAGAAAAAUAGAAUAAAUUUACAUUGUUCUCUUGAGGAAAAAAGAACCCAACUCAUAAUUCAAAAAUUGUUGGGUUGGUUUCUGUGGUCAAUGGUGUGACAGAUUUGGUAUCCUUCAGGCUGGUCAUUAUGUGACUUUCCUCCUUGCUCAUGAGCAAUUCAAGCCACAAGUUAGAUUGAUGAAGGCUUCUUCUCUGCAUGGGAUUGUAAGUCCACCCAGUGGAUGAUCAAACCCGAACUCUUCCUCAGCCUGACUUAGCAAGUUUUGGAAUGAAGGAUGCUUCAGGUAUGAAAUUGGAAUCACAAAUCUCUUCUUUUGAGUUUCUCCAACGUAGACAGGAACAUAGCCUUUGGGCACAUUUGUGGGCUCUGGAGAUGGAAGAAUGCGUCUCAGGAUCUGCUUGGCAGGAAUAAUCCUCUGAAAACGGAUAGCCAUGAGUUUCAAACUUAGUUCUUCAAACCAAAGUGGUUGAGAGAAAUGGAUUUCUAGAUGUUUGGGAAGCAAGAAAAGCUUUGAUACCUGGUUGUUGUGGCCAUAGAAUAGAUGUAUUUAUAGAACAAAUGCAAUAAGGCCAGUUUUCUCAAAUGCAAUGAAUGGUGGAAAGACAAUUGCAAUGGGGGUCCCUUAAAGAAGAUAUAUCACAGGUCAUCACAUGGUCUUGUCUCUGAUGCUUUCAUGUAUUUGUUGGUACAUCUUGGCCUACCAUUUAACAGAACAAACAGCAUAGCCCUACCCAAAAUUAUCAUCAUUGUAUUGCAUCCCACUGAUUAUAAUGAAUCGAAUUGAUCAUGUGGACAAAAACAUAACUUGAAGGACUAAAAUGCAGACCAGACUUCUCAUAUUAAUGGACAAAAUGCUACAAACUAUAGCAGACCACAAGUACCAGAUGUGUUAUAGGUUAUGACAGUACCAAAUAUAAGAGCAGACAAGUUAUCUUCUAAUGUGAUGUUUUUUGCUACCGUACAAGUGCGAAAUUGGUGCUGAGUCCGAGUCUUCAGCCUGAAUUUAGAGAGGUGACAGAUUGAGUGAACUCAUUGAACCGACAUCAUCAUUCAAACGAUGCUUAUGUCACGACUCAAACCUACCUGAUAUCGACCAAACCCUAGAAAAACAUGAAUUGGAUAAAGAAGCCUUUUAUUUCAACAGUCAAGUAAAAUAUUUUGUGCCAUAUAUGUAUGGUAUUGUUCUCAUGAAGGAAAACCUGUUUUCUCUUAGAAAAGAAUUUUUAUAAAGGGCCAAGAAAAAAAUGUACAUGGAAUUGCAUUUCCUUCCUUACAAAGUCAUUGGUGUUUUUUCUUUUUAUUUUCUUUUGUAAGCUCUUUUAAUACAUGUAGCCCAUUCAAAUGUGAAGUAAGGUCGAGGAAGAUAUCUUCUCUGCAAGAAAUUCUGAGACCACCCAUUGGAUGAUCAAAUCCAAAUUAAUCUUCUGCCAUAUGUAGUAGCUCUUGGAAUGUAGUUGCCCAAUUGUUGAAAUAUAUCAUGUCCUCUAACUCACUGUCCAGUGCAAAUCAAUCCCAAAAUCAUAUUGCGGUCCAGGUUCUGACAUGAAGUAAUGAUUCAUGAACUAAAAUAGAACAUGGCCAGAUGCUGGAAGACAACCAAAAACUCGUACAAAUCCUCAUGCUUCUCCUAUUUCAACCAUUGGUUAGACAGGGUAAUGUCUUUCUCUUCCCUCCUGUCUGAAUUCCCAUAAAACUGAACAUAUGCUUAGCCUUCCCUCUUAAGCACUUUUCAUGCAUUUCAAUCAAGGAACUCAGUUGAAAGACUCCAUGUAUCACAGUAGUAAAUGGACAGACCACAGUGGAAUUCAUAUGUUUAUCUGGCUUACGGACCAGUUCAUCUCUGAAAAACGAGAAACAUUAGCUCCUGAAGGCUUUAUCAUCCACCCCCCAGGUGGUAAUUGCAAAUGUGUAUAUGUACACAAUAUGCCCUGCCAUUUAUUAGAGAACUACCAAAAAAAGACCACUUGAAAUCCCAGAGAUGGAGAAACCUCUUGUCGAUUUAAGAACUGUACAAAAGCUCAAUCUGUAUGUGCAUUAGAGGCAUGCCUGAGAAAUCUAAUUCCUUUCUGUCUUCAUGGGGAGGAGACACAAUGGGGACUUCAUUGGCCACAUUGAUAACUUGGCUAUUACCAUUCACUUAAUUACAGAGGUGCUGACAUCCCAUAUUAGACCCUUCAAAGCUAUGUAAUAACAAUUCAUUUUCACAGCUUGAACUUACCUUUCAAUCCAAUGACAGACUCGAACAUGAUUCUCUCCUGACAAAACAGAUACUGGCUUAGUUGAUAUGGAUGUAUUAUUAUCAUUUAGGCAUUUUGCUUUUUCCAUUUCCAAACAAAGAAACUGUGAAACAGCAAUGGCCAAGUUUCUGAGUGUUAAGAGGAGAAUACAAGGGAAUGGCAUGGUUUUUUUUUUUUCUCCAAAAAACAAAGUCAAAGUCAAAGAAAUCCUUCAUAUUCUUUAUGUGAAGCUGAAAACAGAGAUCCAUUGCUGUCAUAUGACAUCCCAGUUUUCAUUUGCUUGGAAUGUUAUCAGAAAGGGCGACCCUUCAUAUGGAAUUUGGAUAAUCUCUCUUGGAGCCCUUCAAACUUAACGACUAGAAGAAACACAUUGACAAGGACAUCUGAAUAAUAUGAUUUCCUUUAUGGAUAAUUUAUUGCAGGCAACAUCAUAACAUGAACUGAUGAUUUGUGAUUCAAUGUUAUUGUCUGAUAAUGUCAAAAGAAAUGAAUUAGUGGUAGUUUUUGUGUUUAUCAGAACACAAACAAGCUUCAGACAUUUAUCACUGGAAGGCUAUGGUUAGCCAAAUGAAUAUAGUCCCUACCAGUUGGUUGAAACAGCUAACAUUUUCAAGUGGGCUCCUCAAGUUUGUUCUGAUAAUUUUAAGCAGCAGGCCAUGACGAGUUGCAGCAAAUAAAUUUUUGGUAGUAAGACCACCGAAAUCUUAUUAUUAGUUGGUAGGCAAAACCAUGUGAUCCCUUGUGUUGAAUGUCCAUAUAUGGACCCUAUCAAAGACUUCUCUUCACACCAACCCCAUUUGAGAAACUGGCCAUACAGAAUUUGCUUGCACUAUAUAUAUUCUACUCAUCCUAAGGAUAUGGCAUUCCACUGCCAAAGUUUUCUUAUUCUAGCACAUCUCAGAGUACCAUUUUACUUACCAUUAAUUUUCUCUGAUCAUACAAGUCAUGGGUUUUCGCUUGCCUGGGAUUGUUAAUGCAAAGCAAGUCGUGCAGCAAGUGUGCAAGGGUGCAGAGGCCAAAAAUGUACCAAAAGGCUAUUUUGCUGUUUAUGUGGGAGAAGUUCAAAAGAAGCGAUUUGUGGUUCCAAUCUCAUACUUGAAGAACCCUUCAUUCCAGAACUUGUUGAGUCAGGCUGAAGAAGAGUUCGGGCUUGAUCAUCCAAUGGGUGGUCUCACAAUCCCCUGCACAGAAGAAGCCUUUAUUGAUCUUACUAGUAGUUGGAACUGCUCAUGAGAGGGGAAGAAGUUAUGCAAAUGGCUAGUCAGUAGGACAUGUAAUUUCUAACGCCAUUGACUUGUAAUCCAGUCUCUCCAAUUUUGAGUUAGGAGAACUGGGUUGUUUCAUUUCCACAAAUUGUAAAUUGUUCUAUACAUUUUUCUGUAUAGAAAGUUGAGAGUCAAAUCUCUCUACAACAAAACAUUCAAACAGAAUCUCUUGGUUUUCCUCUUUCUCAUUGAUUUUGUUUCCCCUGGUCUUCUUAUAUAAAUAGUCACCAUGUAUAUGCACAUCAAAUUUGAGAAGAGUAACAAAAAAAUCCUAGAAGCUAAGGCCUGCUUGAUGGUUUUUAGCUCCUUCACUGCAGAUACUGAUGUGCAUAGACCUGUCGUAAAUGUUUGGGCAGAAUAUGUUCAUUUUCCAUUUACUUCAACCAAAAGCUAAAUCUUCAGUCCAGGAGUUGCUUUUCAAUUACCAUGGUCAGUGAAGCAUUGGGAUCUUGUUUCUUCCUUUCUUUUUAUCUUCGAUUUUCUCGUUUUCCCCAUUCCUCGUAGCUAGCCAGAGUCUCAGCUUACUCUGUUCAAGACUAUAUUUGGAAACUAGUUACAGAUCAACCAGUUAAUAUAGAUUUUGAUAUUUUGCAAUGCAGUUUUACCAUAUAUACUGUAACUUUGAUGGGGUUAGGCCAGUUUUUCUUCCUACUUCUGUUCAGCAUCAUUGAAUAAAAAGGCAACAAAAAUUAGGGAAAAGUAGCAGAGCUGCUGAGUUGUCAUUUCAUAGUGAUAAUAUCAUCCAUUAGACUUGCACCCAGGUAUUAAAAUUAGUCCAACUGCUAGUGGAACUACUAGGAAACACUUCAUGUGCUCUUUACAAGGGUCUGUUGCAAGCUGGUGUACUAAAGCAGGUCGGUGCCAGUGAUUUUUGUUGAUGUCAUGUUGUUAACAGCAGCUUUACUUUUUCAUUCAGCUGAGAUAUACCUUGAAUAUAUGUCAUUUUCAUGCUUUUUACAGUUUGUUCCAUGUUUAUUUUCAUGAUCUAACAUAGGAUGAUAGUAACCAUAUACACGUUGUUCUUGUACAGUUCUUAAAUUGACAAUAGGCUUCUCCUGUUAGUAACUCUUGGAUUUGGAGUAGCACCUGUAUGGGUGGUUCUCUAAGAAAUGGUACGGCAUCAUACGUUGAACAUUAUGAAUAGGAAGGCGAAGCUGCAUGAUCCGUCAGAAAGUGUUGUCUCUCAAAAGAAAAGUUCCCAACCCUUUGAUCUAUAGAUACACUCAAUCUCAUAUUUAAAACCCACACAAGUCUUUGACAUUGUCUACCACCAAAGCUUUAAUUCCUUUAUCCUACAAUUCCCCCAAAAUCAUUUUCUUGUUCUUUUUCUGUAGAUAUAUAUGUUGUCUCCACUAUAAAUCAUGGACUUUUCGAUUUAUGAUUCUAUUUCUUUUCAUCUCUUAAAGAACCUCUUGACCAACUCUUACCAGAAGAACUUGGGAAGCUGAAAGCUAGUCAUUUGAGGAUUUGGGAUGAAAACAAGUUACAAUAUUGCAAGGUUUUCUACAUAAGGGAAAAAUGAAUCUUUGUUCCCUCAGGUUAAACUUGAGGCCAAGGGAUCUUUGUGUACUUGCUAUAUGCUGCAAGUCAACACUUGUGAGGCAGUUGGGUGCAUGCAACUACGAAUAACCAAUAAGCCUAUUGUUUUCCCUGCUUACAUAUCAAAUGCUAAGUUCUCUCUUUCCUUUUCCUAGAAAUACUGGCAGUAUUGAUUCUUCUAAAAGUCACUAAAUCUUCAGUAGACGGCUUGUUUUGUCCUUCAACAUGGCAGUGAAACAAAUCCCCUAUCAUAUAACUACACCAUCUAAUGGAUAAGCUAUCUUUUGGAGGAUAUAAUGUGAUGGUCAUACAAAUAACUCAAAGCCAGAGAUAUCUAGGCUUUUAAUCAUUUAUCAUUUGACAAGUGUCACACUAAGAUUCCUCAUCUCAGUUGCCAAAUAUUUAGGUUGCUGAUGGUUGUGUGUUGCAUCACAAUUGAAACAUAUGAGUUUGACCACCGCAAUGAAAGACUUUAUCUGAUUCAUGGUCUUCUGGGGUUGGUGAAUCUGCUUGAUUUGUGUCUAGACAUAGACAUCAUAGAACAAUAGCAUAUGAUAUGUUGGUAUGGUGCUUCUGUUCAAUCUUUCAUUCCCCUGAAAUUCUGGCUGAAACUCGUACUCGGCACCAACUCCUCACUCGGAUGUAACAAGAAACAUCAUCGCGUUAGAAGAUAACUUGUCUACUCAGAUGUUCAACAGGGGUGGCCUGCUAUAUUUUGAAGCAUUUUGUACUUGAAUAUAAGAAAUCUGGUCUCUGAGUUAGUCCCUGAAGUUAGGCUUUUAUCCAAAUUAUCAGAGGGAUAUACAUUGCAAUCAGUCGGAUGCAUUACAAUAAUAAUAAUUUCAAGUGGGACUAUGCUGCUUGUUCUGUUGAGUGGCAGGCCACAAUGAACCAGCAAUUACAUCACAGUAGGAAUGCUAUCAAAAUCUUAUUAUUAGUUGGGAAGCAAAACCAUGUGACUCUUUGUGAGUUAUCUCCUUUAAGGGACCCCAUUGCAGUAGUCUCUUCAUCACUCAUUCCACUUGAGAAUACUGACCAUACAACAUUUUCUCUUUAAAUAUACCUACUCUGUGGGCAUACAUCCCCCAAGUUUCAAAGCAUUCUUAUAUUCCGAAAUCUUUGAAAUCCUUUCCCACCAUCACUUUUUGAGAAACUAAAUUUGAAACUCAUGGCAAUCCGUUUUCAGAGGAUUAUUCCUGCCAAGCAGAUCCUGAGACGCAUUCUUCCAUCUUUGGAGUCCACAAAUGUGCCGAAAGGCCAUGUUCCUGUCUAUGUUGGAGAAACUCAGAAGAAGAGAUUUGUGAUUCCAAUUUCAUACUUGAAGCAUCCUUCAUUCCAAAACUUGCUAAGUCAGGCUGAGGAAGAGUUUGGGUUUGAUCAUCCACUGGGUGGCCUCACAAUCCCAUGCAGAGAAGAAGCCUUCAUUGAUCUAACUUGCAGUUUGAACUGCUCAUGAGCAAGGAGAAAGAUCUCAAAAUGGCCGGCCUCAAGCACUCUCAUCUCUAACACCACUGACAACAAUUUUGUAUCAUUGCGAAAUAGGUCUUUUUGAAGUGAAAACAAUGUAAAUUUCUUCUAUUUUUUUCUGUAAAGCAGGUUGACAGUCAAAUGUCUUCAUCUUAAUCACACAGAAAUAACUAUGUUCCUUUUUCUUUCUUUUCUCCCUUGUGAUUCCUUAUUAGCCAAAAAGAAGUUUCAUUUUUUCAGUUUUCGGUCUUUCUAUUACAUCCAUGCAACAGUUUGCUUCUCCCUCUGUGUAACGCACCAUCAUUCUAAAUUGUAAAACACUUAGCUCUGAUAUUGAAUUAAAAGUUCAGAUAAACAAGAAAGAUAUAAGCUGUAAUCAACAUGAAAAGUAGAAGACAUUCCAGGAAUAUUCACAGCUGGAAGCCAGAGGGAGAACAACAGUUAACAUGUCCCCAACAAAAAUCACUGGCAUUGAGCUACUUUAGUACAUCAACUUGCAAGGAACACUCUCACAUGAAGUGCCUCCUACUAGGGCCCAAGGCAGUAGAAUCCAUUUUAAAACAUAAGAUCAUUGGUUGCAGUGUUAAAUUGGAAAAUUUGAAUUAUUUUAAAACACAAGUGCCUCAUCUCUCUCUCUCUCUCUCUCUCUCUCUCUCUCUUCCAUUUUUUUUUUAUUAAAAUUAAGGAACAGGCUUAGCCCCAUGAAGAUCAGGUAAAUAUGGUAAAUAUGUAUAUAUAACCACUUUGAGAGACACAUUCAAAUGCUUUCAAUGCUAAUCAGAAAAAGUCAGAAAAGAUAAGGUUAUCAUCAAUAUAAACAAUUGCAGAGAAUGUAUACCAAUUAAAUGUCAUUUAUAAUAUUUAGGAAUUCCAAGGCAAUCAAAUUCUAUUCAUAAUGUCCAAGACAUACUGUGAAUGUUAUUUUAUCAUCUAUGUAUGGUAAUUGAACAAGUCUUUGAUUGAAGGUUUAGCUUUAGGUUUGCUUUGAGUGGUAAACUAAACAUUAUGACUCCCAAAUGGUUUAUUUAUCAAACCUUUGCUCAAAUUUUUGUGUUUUGGAUUGCUCAACUCAAAUUUUUUAGCUAUCUGGUAAUCUGAUCUAUAUCAACCAACAAGUGGGAACUAUAUUCAUUGAUCUACUAAGCAUAGCUCACCCAUAGCAUAUGAUAGAAACUUGUUGGUGUUCUAAAAAAAACAAAUUAUGAGCUCAUGUGAUGAUGUUGCUUGAAAUAAAUUUUCCAUAGGGGAAAUCACGUUGUUCAAAGUCCUUGUCAAGGUAUUAAACAACAAAGAUAAACAAAGGAAAAUGUAAUGGCUACCGGCAAGGAAUGGAUAUUGAUAAUAAAACAAUGCCCUUCUCCUGUCCCCAUUUGUCCUACCAUUGGAAAUGCCUCUACUUGGUUUUCAGAUUCAAACAUAAUCCUGUUUCUAUCCUUCUCCAUAGAUUCAAGUUCUAAAAUUCUGUCUAGAUGCUCAAUCAAAGAUAUAAAUCAACAUUGGCACUUCUUUAAGCAUGUCAAUUGGUUUCUGAUGAGCAUUAAAGCUCCAAAAUGGGCACCACUUUGAAUUAGGAAGGUUCAAAGAAGGCCAUUCAUUUGAAAUUACAUUUACAUUUUGACUACUAUUUCUAAUCCAUCAAUUACAACAACAAGAAUAGGAUACUAAAACUUGAUAUGUUUUUAUGAAUAACAAUCAUCAUAAGUUGUCCUUUCUUGAAAGUUGCUGAAUAUGGCCUUACCAGAAUAAUAGAAUCCAAAAUAUUUAAACUAAGUAGAUUUGGUUUCAUUGGACACUGGAAACUUAUGGCAAUAACUUUUACUAAAUGGCUGCCUGAGAAAGACAAAUAGCAUAAAAAAUAAGUUAAAGCUAAGCAAUUAAGAUGAACAAAUUUGAUUGUCAACUUUUCCAGAAAAAUGGAAUAAAUUUACAUUGUUCUCAAGACCAAAAAAGAAAAAAGAAAAAAACCCAACUCAUAAAUUCAAAAAUGCUGGGUUGGUUUUUGUGGUCAAUGGUGUCAUAGCUUUGGUAUCCUUGAGCCUGGUCAUUAUAUGAUUUUCCUCCUUGCUCAUGAGCAAUUCAAGCUGUAAGUUAGAUUGAUGAAGGCUUCUUCUCUGCAUGGGAUUGUGAGUCCACCCAGUGGAUGAUCAAACCCGAACUCUUCCUCAGCCUGACUUAGCAAGUUUUGGAAUGAAUGAUGCUUCAGGUAUGAAAUUGGAAUCACAAAUCUCUUCUUCUGAGUUUCUCCAACAUAGACAGGAACAUAGCCUUUGGGCACAUUUGUGGGCUCUGGAGAUGGAAGAAUGCGUCUCAGGAUCUGCUUGGCAGGAAUAAUCCUCUGAAAACGGAUGGCCAUGAAUUUCAAGCUUAGUUCUACAAACUAAAGUAGUUGAAAGAAAUGGAUUUCUAGAUGUUUGGGAAGCAAGAAAAGUUUGAUACUUUGUGGAUAUGCCCGUAGAAUAGAUGUAUUUAUAGAACAAAUGCUAUGUGGCAAGUUUUUUCAAAUGGAAUGAAUGGUGGAGAGACAAUUGCAAUGGGGGUCCCUUAAACAAGAUAUAUCACAAGGCAUCACAUGGUCUUGCCCCUGAUGCUUUCAUAUAUUUGUUGGUACAUCUUGGCCUACCAUUUGCCAAUUGAUCAUGUGGAGAAGGACUAAAAUGCAGACCAGACUUCAUAUUCAAGGACAAAAUGCUACAAACUAUAGAAGACCACAAGUACCAGAUGUGUUAUAGGUUAUGACAGAACCAAAUGUCAGAGCAGACAAGUUAUCUUCUAACGUGAUGUCUUUUGCUACCAUACAAGUGAGAAAUUGGUGCUGAGUCUGAGUCUUCAGCCUGAAUUUAGAGGGGCAAAAUAUCGAAUGGACUCAUUGAACCAACAUAGCAUAUGGUAUUAUUCUAAUGAUGCUGAUGUCUAGGCUCAAACCAACCUGAUAUUGACCAGACCCUAGCAAAAUAUGAAUUGGAUAAAGAAGCUUUUUAUUUCAACAGUCAAACCAACCUGGUACUGUUCUCAUGCAGGGAUACCUGUUUUCUCUUAGAAAAAAAUUUUUAUACACGAGGACAAAGAAAAGCAAAUGUAAAUGAGAUUGCAUUGCCUCCCUUACAAAAUUGUCAUUGGUGUUUUUUCCUUUCAUUUUCUUUGGUAGGCUCUUUUUGUAUAUGUAGCCCAGUCAACUAAGAAGUCGGAUUGAGGAAGAUAUCUUCUCUGCAAGGAAUUCUGAGACCACUCAUUGGAUGAUCGAAUCCAAAUUCUUCUUCUGCCUUAUGUAGUAGCUAUUAGAAUGGAAGUUGGACCAAGCAUGAUAUUGAAACUGCAAAGCGCUUCUUCUGUCCCUCUCCAACAUAAACCACAAGGUAGCCUUUUGGGAUGUCUGCAGCUGUUGCAAAUGUGUGUAUGUACACAAUGUGUCCUGCCAUUUAGUAGAGGACUACCAAAAAACGACCCACUUGAAAUCCCAGAGAUGAAGAAACCUCUUGUUGAUUUAAGAACUGUACAAAGCUCAAUCUGUAUAUGCAUUAGAAGCAUGCCUGAGAAAUCUAAUUCAUUUCUGUCUUCUUGGGGAGGAGAUAGAAUGGGGACUUCAUUGGCCACAUUGAUAACUUGGUCAUUACCAUUCACUUAAUUGCAUAGGUGCUGCCAUCCCAUAUUAGACCAUUCUAAGCUACGUAAAUAAUAAUUCAUUUUCAGAUGGGCUCUCUAUUGCUUGAACAAUCCAACUAAAAAACUUAAACAUGAUUCUCCCCUGACAAAACAGAUACUGGCUUAGUUGAUAUCGAUGAAUUAUGAACAUUUAGGCAUUUUGUUUUUUCCAAUUCCAAACAAAGAAACUGUGAAACAGCAAUGGCUGAGUAUUCUGAGUGUUAAGAGAAGAAUACAAGGGAAUGGCAUGGCUCCUUUUUUUUUUUGGAAAAAAAAAAAACAGUCAUAGUCAAAGGAAUCCUUCAUAUUCUUUAUGUGAAGCUCAAAACAGAGAUCCAUUGCUGUCAUAUGACAUCCCAGUUUUCAUUUGCUUGGAAUUGUUGUCAGAAAAGCAGCCCUUCAUAUAGAAUUUGGAUAAUCUCUCUUGGAAUCCUUCAAACUUUGACUAGAAGAAACACAUUGACGAGGACAUCUAAAUAAUAUGAUAUCCUAUAUGGAUAAUUUAUCCCAAGCAACAUCAUCACAUGAAUUGAUGGUUUGUGAUUCAAUUUUAUUGUCUGCUAAUGUCUAAAGAAAUAAAUCAGUGGUGAUUUUCAUGUUUAUCAGAACACCAACAAGCUUCAGACAUAUAUCACUGGAAGGCUAUGGUUAGCGAAAUGAAUGUAGUCCCUACAAGUUAGUUGAAAUAGCUAACAUUUUCAAGCGGACUUCUCAAUUUUGUUCUGAUAAUUUUAAGCAGUAGGCCAUGACAAGUCGCAGCAAAUAAAUUUUCAGGAUUGAAACCACCAAACUCUUAUUAUUAGCUGGUAGGCAAAACCAUGUGAUCCCUUGUGUUGAAUGUCCAUAUAUGGACCCUAUCAAAGACUUCUCUUCACCACCAGCUCCAUUUGAGAAUACUGUUCAUACAGAAUAUGCUUCCUCUAUAUAUAUUCUACUCAUUAUAGGGAUAUGACAUCCCACUGCCAAAGAUUUCUUGUUAUAACUCAUCUCAGAGUACCGUUUUACUUACCAUUACUUUUCUCCGAUCAUACAAGUCAUGGGUUUUCGCUUGCCUGGGAUUGUUAAUGCUAAGCAAAUCCUGCAGCAAGUGCGCAAGGGUGCAGAGGCCAAAAAUGUACCAAAAGGCUAUUUUUCUGUUUAUGUGGGAGAAGUCCAGAAGAAGCGAUUUGUGGUUCCACUCUCAUACUUGAAGAACCCUUCAUUCCAGAACUUGUUGAGCCAGGCUGAAGAAGAGUUCGGGUUUGAUCAUCCAAUGGGUGGUCUCACAAUCCCCUGCACAGAAGAAGCCUUUAUUGAUCUUACUAGUAGUUGGAACUGCUCAUGAGAGGGGAAGAAGUUAUGCAAAUGGCUAGUCAGUAGGACAUGUAAUUUCUAACGCCAUUGACUUGUAAUCCAGUCUCUCCAAUUUUGAAUUAGGAGAACUGGGUUGUUUCAUUUCCUCACAUUGUAAAUUGUUCUAUACAGUUUUCUGUAUAGAGAGUUGAGAGUCAAAUGUCUCCAUACAAAACAUUCAAACAGAAUCUCUUGGUUUUCCUCUUUCUCAUUGAUUUUGUUUCCCCUGGUCUUCUUACAUAAGUAGUCACCGAGUAUAUGCACAUGAAAUUUGAGAAGAGUAACAAAAAAAUCCCAGAAGUUUAGGCCUGCUUGAUGGUUUUUAGCUCCGUCACUGCAGAUACUGAUGUGCAUAUGCCUGUCAUAAAUAUUUGGGCAGAAUAUGUUCAUUUUCCACUUAUGUCUACCAAAAUCUAAAUCUUCAGUCCCGGAUUUGCUUUUCAAUUACCAUGGUCAGUGAAUAAACCAACUGUGGGCAUCGGGAUCUUGUUUCUUCCUUUCUUUUUAUCAUCAAUCUUCUCGCUUUCCCCAUUCCUUGUAGCUAUUAAAGCUAGAGGCUUACUCUAUUCAAGACUACAUUUGGAAACUACUUACAGAUCAACCAGGCAUUAUUGAUUUUGAUAUUUUGCAAUGCAGUUUUACCAUAUAUGGGGUUAGGCCUGUUUUUCUUCCUACGUCUGUUCAGCAUCAUUGUAUAGAAAGGCAACAAAAAUUAGGGAAAAGUAGCAAGCUGCCAGAUUGUCAUUUCAUUGCGAUGAUAUAAUCCAUUUGACUUUCACCCAGGUAUUAAAAUUGGUCCAACUGCGCGUGGAACUAGUAGGAAACAUUUCAUGUGCUCUUCACAAGGGUCUGUUGCAAGCUGGUGUACUAAAGCAGCUCAGUGCCAGUGAUUUUUGUUGAUGAUAUGUUGUUAACAGCAGCUGUACUUUUUCAUUCAGAUGAAAUAUAUACCCUGAAUAUAUGUGAUUUUCAUGUUUAUUACAGUUUAUUUGAAUGUUUAUUUUCAUGAUCAAACAUAGGAUGAUAGUAACUAUAUACGGGUUGUUCUUGCACAGUUCUUAAAUCGACCAUAGGCUUCUCCUGUUUGCAACUCUUGGAUUUGAAGUGGGUCCUGUGUGGGUGGUUCUCUAAGAAAUGGUAGGGCAUCAUGUGUUCGUGAGUAGGAAGGCAAAGCAGAAUGAUCCUUCAGAACGUAUUGUCUCUCAACAGAUGAGUUCCCAACCCUUCCAUCUAUACAUAUACUCAAUCUCAAAUUUAAAAUCCACACUAAGUCUUUGACAUUUUCUACCACCAAAGCUUUAAUUCCUUUAUCCUGAAAAUCCUUCCAACAUAGAUAUAUUUGCAGUCUCCACUAUAAAUCAUGGACAUCUAUCAAAGAUAUGUGUGUUGCACACAUUACUCAAAAGAGACAUAGUUCUGAAAUUGAAGAAAAAAAUUAUAAAUUUAUCAUUCCUUUUCUUCUCAUAUCUUAAAGAACCACUUGACUGACUCUUACCAGAAGAACUUGGGAAACUGAAAGCAAGUUUUUCAUUUGAGGAUUUAGGAUGGAAACAAGAUACACUAUUGAAAUGUUUUCUACAUAGGGAAACAUGAAUCUUUUUGUUCCCUAAGGUCAAACUUGAGACUAAGGGCUCAUGGUGUGCCUGCAACAUGCUGAAUGUCAACACUUGUAAGGCAGUUCAGUGCUUGAAACAAAAAAUAACUAAUAAAUUUGUUUAGUAUUAAUUCUUCUAAAAGUUCCUAAGUCUUCAGUAGAGGGCUUGUAUUGUCCUUCAACAUGGCAGUGAAACAAAUCCCCUGUUAUAUAUACCACACCAUCUAAUGGAUAAGCUAUCUUUUGAAGUAUAUAACGUGAUGGCCAUGCAAUUAACUCAAAGCCAGAGAUAUUUAGGAUUCUAAUCAUUUAUCAGUUUCCAAAUAUUCAGGUUUCUGAUUGUUGUGUGUUGCCUCACAAUUGAAACAUUUGAGCUUGACCUCUGCGAUGAAAGACUUUAUCCGAUUCAUGGUUCCCUGGGGUUUGGUGUAUCUGCCUGAUUUGGGUCCAGACAUAGGCAUCAUAGAACAAUACCAUUUGAUAUGUUGGUAUGGUGCCUCUGUUCAAUCGUUUAUCCUCCCAAAUUAUGGCUGAAGCUCGUUCUUGGCACAAAUGCCUCCCUUGUAUGUAACAAGAAACAUUAUGGCAUGAGGAGAUAAUUUGUCUGCUUUGAUAUACAGCAGGGGUGGCCUACUAUAGUUUGAAGCAUUUCGUCCUUGAAUAUGAGAAAUCUGGUCUGUAAGUUAGUCCCUGAAGUUAGGCUUUUGUCCAAAUAAUCAGUGGGAUAUACAUUGCAAUCAGUCAGAUGCAUUACAAAAAUAAUAAUUUCAAGUGGGACUCUGCUGUUUGUUCUGUUUAGCGGUAGGACAUAACGAACCAGAAAAUAUAUCACAGUAUGAAUGCUAUCAAAAUCUUAUUAUUAGUUGGGAGGCAAAACCAUGUGACCCCUUGUGAGUUAUCUCCUCGCAGGGACCCCAUUGCAGGAGUCUCUUCAUCACUCAUUCCACUUGAGAAUACUGACCAUACAGCAUUUGCUCUAUAAAUAUACCUACUCUAUGGGUAUACACCCAUCAAGUUUCAAAGCUUUCUUAUAUUCCGAACUCUUUGAAAUCCUUUCCCACCAUCUCUUUUUGAGAAACUAAAUUUGAAACUCAUGGCCAUCCGUUUUCAGAGGAUUAUUCCUGCCAAGCAGAUCCUGAGACGCAUUCUUCCAUCUCCGGAGUCCACAAAUGUGCCGAAAGGCCAUGUUCCUGUCUAUGUUGGAGAAACUCAGAAGAAGAGAUUUGUGAUUCCAAUUUCAUACUUGAAGCAUCCUUCAUUCCAAAACUUGCUAAGUCAGGCUGAGGAAGAGUUUGGGUUUGAUCAUCCACUGGGUGGCCUCACUAUCCCAUGCAGAGAAGAAGCCUUCAUUGAUCUAACUUGCAGUUUGAACUGCUCAUAAGGAGGAAAAUCUCAAAAUGGCCGGCCUCAAGCACUCUCAUCUCUAACACCACUGACCCCAAAAUCC